rnacentral:tRNA from 1 species
GCCUGGGUGGCUCAGUUGGUUGAGCAUCCGACUUCGGCUCAGGUCAUGAUCUCACAGCUCGUGAGUUCGAGCCCCACUUCAGGCU